rnacentral:rRNA from 1 species
GAUGAACGCUAGCUACAGGCUUAACACAUGCAAGUCGAGGGGAAACGAUAUUGGAAGCUUGCUUCCGAUAGGCGUCGACCGGCGCACGGGUGAGUAACGCGUAUCCAACCUGCCCACCACUUGGGAAUAACCUUGCGAAAGUAAGACUAAUGCCCAAUGAUAUCUCUAGAAGACAUCUGAAAGAGAUUAAAGAUUUAUCGGUGAUGGAUGGGGAUGCGUCUGAUUAGCUUGUUGGCGGGGUAACAGCCCACCAAGGCGACGAUCAGUAGGGGUUCUGAGAGGAAGGUCCCCCACAUUGGAACUGAGACACGGUCCAUACUCCUACGGGAGGCAGCAGUGAGGAAUAUUGGUCAAUGGGCGAGAGCCUGAACCAGCCAAGUAGCGUGCAGGAUGACGGCCCUAUGGGUUGUAAACUGCUUUUAUAAGGGAAUAAAGUGAGCCUCGUGAGGCUUUUUGCAUGUACCUUAUGAAUAAGGACCGGCUAAUUCCGUGCCAGCCGCCGCAGUAA